rnacentral:rRNA from 1 species
AUUGAACGCUGGCGGCAUGCUUUACACAUGCAAGUCGAACGGUAACAGGGAGCUUGCUCCGCUGACGAGUGGCGAACGGGUGAGUAAUGCGUCGGAACGUGCCGAGUAGUGGGGGAUAACGCAUCGAAAGGUGUGCUAAUACCGCAUACGUACUGAGGUAGAAAGUGGGGGACCUUCGGGCCUCACGCUAUUCGAGCGGCCGACGUCUGAUUAGCUAGUUGGUGAGGUAAAGGCUCACCAAGGCGACGAUCAGUAGCGGGUCUGAGAGGAUGAACCGCCACACUGGGACUGAGACACGGCCCAGACUCCUACGGGAGGCAGCAGUGGGAUAUUUUGGACAAUGGGCGCAAGCCUGAUCCAGCCAUGCCGCGUGUCUGAAGAAGGCCUUCGGGUUGUAAAGGACUUUUGUCCGGGAGCAAAUGCCUGGUGUUAAUAGCAUCGGGAGCUGAGAGUACCGGAAGAAUAAGCACCGGCUAACUACGUGCCAGCCGCCGCCGUAAAAC